rnacentral:rRNA from 1 species
CCUACGGGGGACAGCAGUGAGGAAUAUUGGUCAAUGGACGAGAGUCUGAACCAGCCAAGUAGCGUGAAGGAUGACUGCCCUAUGGGUUGUAAACUUCUUUUAUAUGGGAAUAAAAUGUUCCACGUGUGGGAUUUUGUAUGUACCAUAUGAAUAAGGAUCGGCUAACUCCGUGCCAGCAGCCGCGGUAAUACGGAGGAUCCGAGCGUUAUCCGGAUUUAUUGGGUUUAAAGGGAGCGUAGGUGGAUUGUUAAGUCAGUUGUGAAAGUUUGCGGCUCAACCGUAAAAUUGCAGUUGAAACUGGCAGUCUUGAGCACAGUAGAGGUGGGCGGAAUUCGUGGUGUAGCGGUGAAAUGCUUAGAUAUCACGAAGAACUCCGAUUGCGAAGGCAGUUCACUGGACUGCAACUGACACUGAGGCUCGAAAGUGUGGGUAUCAAACAGGAUUAGAUACCCCAGUAGUC